GGGUCAGUAGGUUGGUCGUGCCACCGGUACGUACUGGUCUCACUGAUUCCUCCUUCCUGAAGAACCGUAAUGCCAUUAAUUUGGCGUUGCGGGGAAACAGGACUGUUACUUUGAAAAAAUUAGAGUGUUUAAAGCAAGCUAACGCUUGAAUGCAUUAGCAUGGAAUAAUGAAAUAGGACGAUCGAUCCUAUUUUGUUGGUUUCUAGGAUUGACGUA
rnacentral:rRNA from 1 species